rnacentral:rRNA from 1 species
GAUGAACGCUGGCGGCGUGCCUAAUACAUGCAAGUCGAGCGAACAGACGUGGAGCUUGCUCCUCUGACGUUAGCGGCGGCCGGGUGAGUAACACGUGGAUAACCUACCUAUAAGCCUGGGUUAACUUCGGGAAACCGGAGCUAAUCCCGGAUAAUAUCUUGAAACGCAUGGUUCAAUACUGAACGAUGGUUUUGCUGUCCCUUAUAUAUGGAUUCGCGCCGCAUUAGCUAGUUGGUAUGGUAACGGCUUACCAAGGCAAGGAUGCGUACACGACCUGAGCGGAUGGUCGACCACACGGGAAGUGAGGCACGGCGGAGACUCCUGAGCGAGGCAACAGUAGGGAAUCUUACGGGAUGGGGGAAUGCCGAACGUAGCAACAUCGCGGGAGUGAUGAUGGACUUCGGAUCGGAAAACUCUGUUAUUAGGGAAGAAGAAAUGUGUAAGUAACAAUGCACAUCUUGACGGUACCUAAUCAGAAAGCCACGGCUAAAUACGUG